AAGGCUAGGUUCCUUAGUAAGGGCGUGGGGAGAGGUGGGACUACCCCAUAGGAUCCUGUGGGGAGGCCAGGCCCCUCCAUAAGUGUUAGAGAUGAGGAUCGGCCCUCCUACAAGGGCCUGUGGGGGAACAGAAUCCUUUAUAAAGUGCUGUGUGGAGGCCAAGCUCCUCUACAGGAGCCUGGGAGGGAGGUAAGUUCCCCUACUGAGGACCGGCUGGGAGGCCAGGAUCAUCUCUAGGAGCCGGGAAAGAAUCCAAACUUCUCUAUAAGGGAGUGGCCAGGCUCCCCCUAAAAGGACUGGCAGGGAGGCAAGGCUCAUCUAGAGGAGCCUAGGAGGAGGCCAGCUUCGCCUAUAGGGACCUGUGGAGGGGCCAGGCUCUCCUGUAACGCCCCCGGUGCGGAGGGGGGUGGGGAGGGAGUCUCCUCCAUAAGAGUCUGGGACAAGGCCAGGUGUCUCUAUAAGGGUCUGUGGGGAGGUCCAGCUGCCGCUAUAGGGAAUGCGAGGUAAGAAACCAAGGCCCUACUACUGAGGCUGGGGAGUGUGAGUUCUCUUCUUUCUACUUGUGCCGUAGCAGGACCCGGAAGUGCCACCGGAGCGGGGCAGCCUGUCUGCAGUGCCUGAGGCAUCUCCAGCCGCAGCGGGGCUCCAGUCUCAGCCUGGGGGACCAGGCGUCACUGACCCUUUUGAUCCCUACUCAGGUGCUCAGCUGCCCCAGGGAGCCACCGCUGGAGCCGAGGCCAUGCCCCACUGGAGCAGAAGUGAUUGCAGCCAGUCCCCAGAUGGAGGAGUCCCUGCAGAGCUCAGUCCCUCCUUGCAGAAGACAUUGUAGUCAAAGACCUAAUGAUCUUGAACAGGCUUCCUCCCAGGAGAAGGAACCUGAACAUCCUAGGGUGCUUUGAAGGUGUACCAGCCCUAGCCUAGAUAAAAAAACUGGGAGUAACUGGAAACACCACCACACUGGCCAGACCAACAGUGUCUUCUGCCUGGAGAACCUACAAACAGGAUCAACAGCAUCUAGUGAUGUAGCCGUCAACUGUGGCAUAAUCAGGCUCACCUGAAA